CCAUUUGUUGAAACUUAUAGUGACUCAAGCAUCUUAGCUUUUCAUGUAUAGACUUCCUAGGAGUCGCGAAGUAGCAUUUCACCCUUGCUGAAACAUCGACCUCAGCUUUUAUUAGCGAACGGGCCAGGAAUUUGUGUCCCACCCUUUGUUCUCGUUGGAAUCUUCAAGUUCUUUGGAUUAUUAAACACUCAAUGUAUAUUCGUGGAGAGCAUUGCUAGGGUCAAAACACUAUCUCUAUCAGGCUUGAUAAUAUAUUAUUUGCGCCUUUCUGAUUGGUUUAUUGUCCAAUGGCUUCCGCUAAACCAAAGAUACAGACGUUCUUCAUAUCUUGGGCGUCUAGUAUA